rnacentral:tRNA from 1 species
GGGCUGGGGCUCAGGGGUAGAGCGCUCACCUAACAUGUGCGAGGCCCUGGGUCAAUCCUCAGCACCACA